rnacentral:misc_RNA from 1 species
AAGUCGUAACAAGGUUUCCGUAGGUGAACCUGCGGAAGGAUCAUUAAAAACUUUUAUCCGGGAAUUCGUUUCGUCUUCCCGGAUUAUUUGUAUUCAAAUCCCACUCUUUAUAAAUAUAUCAAUUUAUAUAAAACAAAAAUAAAAAAAGAAAACUUUCAACAACGGAUCUCUUGGCUCUC